rnacentral:rRNA from 1 species
UGGGGAAUAUUGGACAAUGGGCGAAAGCCUGAUCCAGCCAUGCCGCGUGUGUGAAGAAGGUCUUCGGAUUGUAAAGCACUUUAAGUUGGGAGGAAGGGCAGUAAGCGAAUACCUUGCUGUUUUGACGUUACCGACAGAAUAAGCACCGGCUAACUCUGUGUCAGCAGCCGCGGUAAUACAGAGGGUGCAAGCGUUAAUCGGAAUUACUGGGCGUAAAGCGCGCGUAGGUGGUUCGUUAAGUUGAAUGUGAAAGCCCCGGGCUCAACCUGGGAACUGCAUCUAAAACUGGCGAGCUAGAGUAGGGCAGAGGGUGGUGGAAUUUCCUGUGUAGCGGUGAAAUGCGUAGAUAUAGGAAGGAACACCAGUGGCGAAGGCGACCACCUGGGCUCAUACUGACACUGAGGUGCGAAAGCGUGGGGAGCAAACAGG